GGGAAAUGCUGUGGAUUAUCAAGCCUUUAAUGGAACUGAAAACGUGAGAUGUUGGUUGAAUGAAUGGUAAAGUAAAGAGAAUUUUCUCUUCAAACAGUUAUUGAUAAAUACAUUCUAGUGUAUUUUUCAGAUGAAUUUGCUAACUAUAGGCUACAUGCAUCAUCCUGAUGCAAAGUUUAUCCCAACAUGAUCCCUGUGCAGUAUUAAAUACCCUUUCCCUGACUACUUUUGGGUACAAACCGCCAGAGAUCUACAGCGAUAUCCACCCCCCUUUUCUUAUGAAAUUUGUAUAGUUGUGGUACAUCAAACCGAAGCUGUCAGGAAAAAGCAAAGUCAUAAGAAAAAUAAAGCAAACUCGUAAAUUGAUUGAAUCAAUAAUGUUUUUUCUCCGGCCAAAAAAUAAAUAAACAAAUAAAACAAAACUGAAUUUUGAAGUGGCUAUGAAGCCAGCUUACAUACCUCACAUAGAACCUCAGCACUGCUAGCACCAAAGUCUCGCAAAGCUGCCCUUUUCACAUGCUGCAAUGAAUAUAGAAGAAAAAAAAAAUUAUCCACGAUCAUUGUCACAAGAAAAAUCCUUACAAAUACUGCAAAGGUUUGUAGCUUCACACAUGGAAUAUAAGUGUGAGAGAGACCAAAACAAUGCCCUUGUAUCCAACAGACAGACGAGAAAACCACUAAUUAACAUUUUAACACAAAGCAAUGAACUCCAAAAGUCGAAUAAAUUACUCAACAAUAUAAGAAAUUAUAACAUUCAGGUAUUAUAUUUGACUUCCAGACAAUGGGGAAAACUUUUUGACAAGAGGAUAGUCUUUAUAUUAAGUUGUUCCUAAUCAUUUCAUCAAGAUAAUACUUAAUAUGCCAGUUCUACAUCCCCAGAAUGUCCUGUGUCCAUGAAUCCAACUGAGACACCUAAGAAUACCAUGGGGUUUGAGCCUCAAAGGAGGACAAUAAGUUCUGAAAGGCAACAGAUAGAGAUAGUGAAAAGUCCCACACAUGCACGUAGGGAAAAAGAAUGCAUCACCAAUAUUUAGGUACAGUAAGAUAUGCUCCUUGCUCAAUAAUGAGCCACUAUGCCAUAUCAUGAGAUGACCCAAUUCUACUACACAUUCCCAAUGUACAAAAAGGCCAGGCAAAGUCAUAAAUGCUUGCAAACAGGAAAUAUUAAGCAACUACAAUAUUGAUUUACUGUCAUUAAUUUAAAAUAUAAAUGCACAGUGCAUUCCAAAUCAAGCUAAUUACAAGUAACAAUAAAAAAUUCAACUUCAAAUGCUAGGAUCAUGAAAGAAAACUUACAUCUCUUGUUGAGGUCUUGUGCAAAGAAUAAACUGCCUGAGAAGCAACCUGACUCCAAAAACAAGUUGGGACAUAUAACAAUUGGAUAAAAUGAACGCACAUUUUUGCAUUUGAAAAUAAAUAAAGAUCCAUCUCCCUAUUUACCUUUAAAGCCACAGAAAGAAAAUCCAUAUCAGCACC
rnacentral:misc_RNA from 1 species